UUGAAACAGAAAAUGGUGAACAGGAUUAUUUUAGUUUUAAGGCAUAAGGGAAUUCCUAAAAGUGAAUUCUUAAAGACUGAGUACUGAAAUGGCAGAACAGAUUCAAUUUGACUAUAUUUAAAGCACAAAAUAUGAGUUUUUACUCUUUAUACUUAUCAGAUUAAAUAAAAAGUAACCUUAAAAAAAAGCAUUUGUUCUUUUAAAGGAGGUCAAAAUAAAACUUAUUGUGAAAAAGAUAAAUACAAAUAGACCAGCAUCCUCAGAGAUACAAAUGGUACAUUUUUAUGCAUCUGGCAAACCCUGAUUAGAAUACACUAAUUCAGUAAUAGAAGCUAGCCUCUUAAACAACUUUUAAUUGGUCAUCUGUAGCCUGUUUCUGGUGAGGGGGGGGGGGGUCCUCUCCCUCCAUUCACCUUAUUAACUUGCUUAAUUUCUAUCUUUUUCUUCUUCUUUACCAUCUUCCUUUAUCUACCUUUCUUGGUCUUUCUUUUUUUUAUCACUCAACUUUCCCAAGUAAUAUCAUUUUUACAUUACAAUGAUUCUAUGUUUACCCUCCAUUUCAAUGUCUGUCUACUCCAAAAACAAGGGCUUUUGCAGCAUUGACAAUUAACUGCAGUAUCUUAAAAUUGCUAUCCACACCUCAACUAAUAUGACGCAUUGCCCUAACCCAGAGACAAACUUACCUUACUCACACAACCUCAUCAAGAAAAAUGAAUAUUCCUAUCUCAUAAUCCUCCAUUUGAGAUGCCUGGCCUCAACAGGGUUUUGGCUUACACCAUGCACAUGGUUAUGAGUUCAUAUAGUAGCUAUGUUUGUGUGUACUAUUCCUAACAAUAAUUCUUGUGUGUGAGGGAUUAUAUUUCUUGUUAAUUUUCUUACUAAAAACAAAUCAAAAUAUUGUAAAGAAACGGAGAGUAACAGUAAAAUGUAAUGUUUAUGAAGAUAAGGUUAUACAUGUAAGCCAUGCUAAUAAAGGGUAUGAAAGGCCCACAAAUUGGGGUGCUACAUUUAGAAAAAUGGUGUCUUAAAAAUUAAACUAAUUAUCAUUAUUACUGAUAUGCCCAAAGUUAAUUUAAGAAAUUGGAAACAAAACUCUUGAUUCCAAGCAUUUAAAAAAAUGCAUGGGUGAAUGUAUCCUUGAUACAUACAGCAUUUGAAUUUACCAUUAGUUUUGAAAGGUGUUCUUUAAGGCAAAAAUGGUUAACAUUUAUCCCAAAACUUUUAUUUUUGUUUUGGAUAAAGUAGGUUAAAGGUUAAAACCAUUGUAUGUUUUCUUGUCUACUGUGCCAUUGGGAGUUUUCCCUUCACCUCCCAUUAUAGCAACACAAGGAAGUGAAAAGAAAUUCCCUCCUAUACAUGAAUCAGUGGAACAACUGUCCCCACUUAAACAUUUUCCCUCAUCUUCUAUUGCCCUUUCAUCUUGUAUCAUUCUUAGUUGCAGCGACAAUGGUCCCCAGGCCAACAAAGAAAGGGUGAAUGUUACCAGUAAAGCCAAAAAGAACAAUAAAAACAUGACUUGGUUUCUAAGCUUUCACCACUGUAUUUAAAACAUCAAAAUCCAAAAGGGUAUUGGCUACAGAUACACUUUAUCUUGUGAAAUACCCUACCACAUGACGCAAUAACAGUAAAAUGUAUAGAAAAAACUAACAGUAAUUACAAAAAAUAUAGUUGUGGCCACAGAGGGUACAUCAUUAUGUCAGGUACUAUUUGGUGGAAGGAUUGAACUGGCUUGGUUAUUGUAUGCUGUAAGUUAGCUUGUUUCAGUCAGCACCUGCCAUGCUGUAUUUCAGACCUGUUGCUGGAGGGCUUUAUAUCUUAUGUGAUAUACUUUGUGCAGAUUCUGAAUGUACAGUAUAUACUCGAGUAUAAACCGACCUGAAUAUAAGCCAAGGCACCUAAUUUUACCACAAAAACUGGGAAAACUUAUUGACUCGAGUAUUUGUGGGGAGCAAGAUCCUGCAGGGUUGGUGGCCAGGUUUUAGGCAUAUUUAAUAAAGAUAUUUAAUUUUAAAAAAAUGACUCAAAUGUGUUAUGAUUUUAAAUCCAAAUUUGUCUUUUGUACAUUGAUAUAAAAAUACAUUCAUAUGGGAAAUAUUUCCUUUAAAAAAAAAAAAAAAAAGUAAAAUGUUUUACACAGUAUGUAUUUUUUCUUAUCUUGUCUAACAGAUUUGUGAAUUCCAAAACACACUUCUAACAUAUUUUACAGAGAAAAUUCCACAAUGUUAUCCAAAGUUUUUCCAACCUCGCCUAUUAUGUAACUAUGUAACUAUCUUUCAAGGUGAGAUUUGCCUGCCUGCUAUCAAUUUAACCCGUAAUAUAAACAUGGAGCUGGCACAUAGGAAGGAUGGAGAAAGCUGGGUGCCGAUACCCUUAUUAGGGAAACAAGAAUGUAUGUGCGCUGAGAUCUGGAGAAUGUCACUCAAACAGUAACGAGAAGUCCCACUGCUCACAGGUAUGACAAAGAUUUUAGCUGAAGCCUUCAUUAUUCCAGCAGUCAUAAAAUGUAUGGUUUUACAAGUCAGAUCACUAAGAAGAAUCUAGGAUUGUGACUAAAGGUUAUUUUUUAUUUGUUUUAAACAUUUUCAUUAGAAAUCUUUUCUUGGUUGAUGAAUGUAGUAAGACAUAUGACAAUGAUUUUGGUGCAAUUAUUGCAAUAAAGAUUUUUUAAUAAAAAAAGUCUGGUGUGUGGGACAUCAUUUUACAACUUAUGCUGGUCAUACAUGGAUUGACAUCUGGCAGUUAAGCAGGAACUUGUUGAAACUUGAUCCACGUGUGGCUAUAGCCUGCAAUGCUGAUCAAUGUAUUCUGACAGCAGGAAAGUUUUCCUAUAUCCACCACGUGUGUGUAUACAAUAUGAUAAAAUAAAUUUGUUUGAAGUUCUUCAAAGAAUUGGCUGAUAGAUCCAAUGCUACAAAGCUAUCAUCAAGGAACGAGCCUAAACAAAUAUAUUAUUAAAUGUGCUACAGACAACAUGAUGAUUCAUUCUAAUAUUACUGGAAAGAUUCAGUAUAUAUACGGUACAUAUUAUUGUUUCUCCCAGGAAUGUAGUUUGAUUUACAGAUGUGCCCCUGCCUGUAACGGAAUAACACCCUAUGGGUUAGAUUUAAUUAGGUAUUGCAUGCUGUUAGACUAAUUACAUACUCUAAGACUUUACAUCAGUCUGCCUUUUUAUUUUUUCACUGCCUCUGAAAACAAAGUAAAACAAUAUUAACUCAAUUGCAUAACUAAUUAGUCUGAGCAAAUUUUAUAAUGUCAGUUUUUGAAAUUGUGGUAAUCAGACACCUAUUCCCUCCAGGCAGUACAUUUUUUUAUUCCUUUACUAAUAAGAUUGCACCAGAAAUACUAAAACACUAUUUAAUCAGAUUUAAUUUCCUUUAAUCUUUAAAUAAUGCUGGUCAAAGUGAAUGUGAACCUUCAAAAUUAAAGUUGGGGACUACUUUGUCACUUAUAAGGCCAAUUGCAAUCUCCUUAUUGUCCUAAAGAACAAAUGCCCGGUGAUUCUGGUAAUAAUUCCUUCCCAUUUCUAAGUGACCACACCAGGCAUCCAUCCUAGCAGGAUCAGUUUGCAUCUGUUAUUUCUACUUUGAAAUUACAGAAUGUAGUGGCAAUGCAUGGCAUGCCUGUGGUCCCAAAUGUAGAUUGCAGCUUCCAUGCCCCCCCCCCAGACUGCUGUAGGCAGGGAGUGAACAGGGAUGUCAAUCAUCCCUGAAUACCUGCCUGACAUGUUAGUACACCUUCAGUCCACUAAAGUGUCAGUGCAGCUUCAUCCCACCCACAAUCCCAGGUUUAGUAAAAUAGAAAUGGAAGGAAGUAGUUACGAGGCUACUAGUGCAUUAAAAUGGUAAUUGUAAAACAAAAAAACACUUACUAUGUGUGAGGCCCCAUGGCUUUGGGAGUCAUACACAUGUAAAACAUUUACAACUAAUUAGGACUUGUGUGUGGCCACCUCAUCACUUAUGGUUCAGAGGGUCGGAAUCAGUGAAAAAAAAAUCACUUUCAUUAACCACCUCAAUACAGGGCAAAAGAAGAGU